rnacentral:rRNA from 1 species
AUUGAACGCUGGCGGCAUGCCUUACACAUGCAAGUCGAACGGUAACAGGUUAAGCUGACGAGUGGCGAACGGGUGAGUAAUAUAUCGGAACGUGCCCAGUCGUGGGGGAUAACGUAGCGAAAGCUACGCUAAUACCGCAUACGAUCUACGGAUGAAAGCGGGGGAUCGCAAGACCUCGCGCGAUUGGAGCGGCCGAUAUCAGAUUAGGUUGUUGGUGAGGUAAAAGCUCACCAAGCCUGCGAUCUGUAGCUGGUCUGAGAGGACGACCAGCCACAAUGGAACUGGAACACGGUCCAGACUCCUACGGGAGGCAGCAGUGGGGAAUUUUGGACAAUGGACGCAAGUCUGAUCCGGCAAUGCCGCGUGCAGGACGAAGGCCUUCGGGUUGUAAACUGCUUUUGUACGGAACGAAACGGUGAGCUCUAAUACCGUUUGCUAAUGACGGUACCGUAAGAAUAAGCACCGGCUAACUACGUGCCAGCAGCCGCCGUAA